rnacentral:rRNA from 1 species
CUCAGGACGAACGCUGGCGGCGUGCCUAACACAUGCAAGUCGAACGGAGUAUUCGAAAGCUUGCUUUGGAUAACUUAGUGGCGGACGGGUGAGUAACGCGUGAGUAACCUGCCUUUCAGAGGGGGAUAACGUUCUGAAAAGAACGCUAAUACCGCAUAACGUAUAAUUGUCGCACGGCAAAGAUACCAAAGGAGCAAUCCGCUGAAAGAUGGACUCGCGUCCGAUUAACUGGUUGGCGGGGUAACGGCCCACCCAAGGUGACGAUCGGUAGCCGGACUGAGAGGUUGAACGGCCACAUUGGGACUGAGACACGGCCCAGACUCCUACGGGAGGCAGCAGUGGGGGAUAUUGCACAAUGGGGGAAACCCUGAAUGCAGCAACGCCGCGUGUGGGAAGAAGGUUUUCGGAUUGUAAACCACUGUUCUUAGCGAAGAAAGCAAUGACGGUAACUAAGAAGAAAGCUCCGGCUAACUACGUGCCAGCCGCCGC